rnacentral:lncRNA from 1 species
GCACGAAUUAAGGGCACCGGAUAAAGAGGACAAGUCUGAAGGAGGGAAAGGGAGAAGGCAAGACUGGGGUAGGACCCUCCACUGCAGUGUGUAUGGUCUACCGAGGGAGGCAACCCCUACAGUUUUCCAGGAGCUGGAUCACCCUGAAAGGCUGAAUGGUAACACAAGCUCUGAAAGCAGGCCCAACCCCAUGAUUGAAGGCAUUUCCCACGCUUUCAAGAUUGGACGGCGCAAAAGGCAAGAUGAUGGCCAGCAGUGAAUUCACUAAUGCUGAUCACACAGAUCCCCAGCAGAUGUGAAGAACCAAUUAACCCUUCCAUUAAGUGUUUCUAGCAGCCUGGCUAUUGAUAACACACCUUGGGACUACAGGGACUGAAAGGCAAUCAAGUGAGUCCCUAAUUAUCUUAUUGUCUUUACUUAAGAAAGAACAUGUAACAGUACCCAGCUGGCUAUAUUUGCAGUAUUAGCUGUGAACAAACUCAGGAGGGUAUCUUGUGAAGCACAAGCUUGUGUUGUGACCCAAGUAGUAAUUGAGCACGAUAAAUAAAGCUAUUACUACACUUCUGAUAGAUAAAGAA